UGGCAGCUGCUCUCCUCUCUUCAGCACCCCUGGCUCCUGACCCCCGCCACGGCUGGCGGACCAGAUUCCUCCUCCCCCACGUGCGGUUACCCACGAGGGGUGCCAUCGUUCUCAAAUGUUACCCUCACGUCCUUCAGAAACAGGGGACUCCAAAGAGUUCUUGGCUAUGUAGGUUGGCAUGACCAGUAUUUGCCGCAUUGGGAGGUAGGAACUGAGAAAAGCAGAGAGCGAGCUGGUUGCUUGGGUGUCAGGUGGUGACGUUGUCACACGUCCUCCCCUCCUCAGAAAGCUCCGCUGUUCACUCAGAAGACUGUGCCCGGGACAGGAGAUGGGAGUCUUGUGUUACUGUGAACACAGCUGUGACCCAGCAGACCCCUGGCCAGGUCUCCUGGCCUUUACUCCGAGGGACUCUGUCCAAGCUGGUGGCUCUUCCUAACCUGCACAAGCAUCUCCCUGGAUGGGGGGCCUAGACGUGGCUGGGGGUGCCGUGACUUUUCUGGGUUCACAGCAGCUGCCUGAUUGCCCCACUGGAGCCCUGCGGCUCUUCUGUAACCCCCAGCUGGACUCGUGGUGGCACUACCCGGUGUCCUGGAAAGGGGUGGCCCGGGCUGCAUACCGAAUUGUGCUUGAGAUGGCUAGAUUUCCGACAAGGGAGGUUUCCAGCUUUUGGUUCUUUAUGUUGUUGCUAGAAGUGAAGUCAGAAGGUGAAUUCCUGCAGCCACGGUUUUGGAGCCGGGUCCCACCCUUACAAGGCAAGGCUGUUCUUGGGAAAGGCCGUCAGCCGAGCGGCAGGCUUCGAGAGCACAGCCCUUGGGCGUCUGCCGGGGGGCCUGCGUCCUGCGGUGCCUCUGAGCUCCCUGUCCGUUUUGAGCUGGUUUCCCUUUUUGCUCGGUCAACGGCUGAGCAGCCCUGUACCCAGGCUUGCAGAGUGGUUGUGCAACGAGCUCUGCAGAGGUGCUGUGCUGUGCCCUCCAAGGCCUCUCUGGCGGUGGGUGUCUGUGAGCCCCUGCCCCUGGCCCGGUGGGGGUGCCGGCUGCCUUGGGCACCCGCCCCCCCCCCCCCAGCCCGGUGGGGGAAUCGGCUGCCUUGGGCACCUGCCCCCCCAGUCCUGUGCCAUCAGGUUUGCACUCUUCGUUCUUGUUCUCAUCCCAGCCUGAAAGCUCCUUGAACCCCAAGGCCCCCCCCCCCCCCAUCUAGUACUGUGUGCGUGGCCAUCCCUGCUGGCUCCCCACUCUCAUCACAGCUCCUGUCCCAGCACUUGGGCACAUGGGCUUGGUGGAGCCCACGGGGACCUCGAACUGGAGGGUCGGCGGUCAGUCCCCGUCCGUCCCUGGCUCUGGGCAGCCCUGAUGGCAGGGAUCUGUCUACUUCUGCAGGACCUCGCUGAUGGCUUUACAGAGACAUCAUUCCCCUGCCACACGUCACCCCUUUACGUGGUGGUUAUGAAGCAGUAGUUUUCAGUGUGUUUGCAGGCUUGUGCAGAGGCCACCACAGUCGAUUGUAGAACCUGUUUUGUGCCUAAACAGAAAGGAUGCCUCAGCAGCCACCCUCCCCUGAAAUCCCAGCCCCUGUGGUCACCAGGCUACUUCCUGCCUCUGGGGUUUACCUGUUCCGGGUUUCACCUGCUCAGGGGUUUACCUGUUUUGGGGUUUACCUGGUCUAGGGUUUACCUGCUCUGGGGGUUCCACGUAACUGGGAUCGCCUGCGUGGCCUUCUGUGUCUGGCUGUGCUCACUGGAUGUGACGUGUCCAGGGUUCAACCCGUAGCGGGUGUUGGUGCUCCUUCCCUUUCUAGGCCUGAGUGCUGUGCCACGGUGUGGACAUACCACAGUGUGUAGGGCCACUGUCAGUUGAUGGACAUUUGGGCAGUUUCCAGGGUUUGGCUGCCGCCACUAGUGCCGCUCUGAGCAUUCGUGUCCAGGCUUUGUGCGGACGUGGGUUUUCAUUUCUCCCGGCACAUGCCCACGAGGGUAACUGCUCGGUCUUUGGUGGCUCUGUGUUUCUCCUUUGGAGGAACUGCUCACCGCUGCCCGGUGUCCGUACCAUUUUACCUUCCGUCAGCCACGUUCCAGGCUUCUGGUCGCUUCCCAGUCUCCAGGUCUUGUCAGCUUGCUUCAAAGGCUUUUUCCUGGGCUGUGCACACACCCUGCGUUUGGCUCCCUCUUCACCCCUACGUCGCGGCAUCGGCCGCUUCUCCGUGGCUGCACUCACUGCCGAUGGGGGCCUGUCUGGACUCAGGCCUUGAAAGACCCUGUCCGCUCAUCCCCAGGAAGCAGGAAGGAGCCCCGGGCCCGGGGCUCAGCCCGUGGUGCGGUGAGAUCGGCUCUGCUCCUUCUGCAACUGCCCAGGAGAGCCCGGUGCACGGUGGGGAGCUCACAUCAGGGAGCCCGGGGCUGCUGGAUCUCCGGGGCACGUGCACCUCCUCCUGGGCCCCCGGAGCAGGUGCAGGGCUGGGGGCUGACAGGGCUGGGCCUCUCUGCCAGCCCCUUAGUGCUCCCCCAGCCCCCUCAUCCCCUGGGGCCCGCCCGAGGCUGGACGUGGCUGAGAAAGGGCCCUCCCUCUACUUGCGUCCAGGGCCUGUCUCGCACACUCUGUCGGCACGCAGACCGUGUCCCCUGGGGAGCGAGAGAGCAAGGGAGGGGGCCCGGCGCGCCCUGGGUCUGCCUCGGGUGGUGUGCGGGUUUCUGGGGGAAGAGGCCUGUGCUGAGGUGUGGUUCCGUGAUGGCGCCGGGUCCGGUUUGGAAGUUACUGGAUCGGACGCAGGCCUGCCUCCCAGCGGAUGGCCCAUAAGGAGCCCACUGUUUGAUCCCGAGGGGACAUGGGGAAGCUGGGCCAGGGUUGCUAAGGGACUGUGGAAUGAUGGUGCCUUAAACGUGGGCCAGCUCAGCGCCAGCAUCUGUCCCUGCGGGCAGGCGGGUGGGCACAAGGGUCACCUCUUGGAAGGUGGGCUGUGUCCACCCCACCGAAUGGGGUCCAGUAGGUGGGGGAUCAACACAGGGCCAGGUGGCUGGUCAGAACAGCAGUGGAGGCGUCUGGGCGCUGUCGUGGUCACCUGUCUGUCGCCACUUUUUUGGGACGCAGCCUGGCUGUCCCUAUGUGUCCCCGGGCCCUUCCAACACGGGAGGAACUAAAGGAGUGCGGUCGUGGGGGCUGGGGAAGGGAGGUGGCGGGGAAAAUGUGCCACGUUCCCCAGGUGAACAUAAGGUGACUUUGACUUCUGUCUUCCGUUACUGCUUCAGUUAAUUAGGGCAUUUGAGACUCUCCUGCCUCGACCCGCUCCCCAGGCGGGCUGGGGGAUAGCAGCCGGCCUCCAGGCUCCAGGCCCGGUUUCUGCCUGGCCCAGGCUGGGAGGGGUGCCCUGUGGCACCCUUCCUUCUCUGGGUGGCACCCUCUGCUCUGAGGCCCCCUCCCCUCCCUGUGCGGUGGAGACAGAACUCUGAAGCCUGGGCCCCCUCACCAGGGCCUCCCCUCUGGGGGAGCAGAUGAUAUGUUUCAGCAUGUGUUUGACCGUGAAAAGCGUGCUCAUACGGAGCUCUUCAGUGGGCGCGGGGGCUGAGUCGGUCCACUCCAGGUCUGACCUUGGGCUCCCGGGAGAGCUCGGAUAAUCACGCUCACGGACGGACAGAGACAAGGGUGAGGACGCCAUCGGGGUUCCGACCUUUAACCGUGCAUGCGGAUAAAGCGACGGCUCAUCCAGCCCCAUGGAAAAUGUGGAAAUGAUGUGAAAGCCUUCUGGUUUUUCGAGUGACGGCAGCGUCGAUCCAGAAAUGUGACUGUGGGAGGAUUUACGUGAAUCCAGAGUGGCGGGAGCCAGAAAACCUGCAGAAGAACUGGCUGCGGGAGUUCUAUCAGGU